AACGUAGGAGACAAACGUUAUCCGGAGUUACUGGGCGUAAAGGGCGUGUAGGCGGUUUGUUAAGUCUGGCGUGAAAGCUCUCGGCUAAACCGGGAGAGGUCGUUGGAUACUGGCAAACUAGAGGAUGGUAGAGGCGUAUGGAAUUCCGGGUGUAGUGGUGAAAUGCGUAGAGAUCCGGAGGAACACCAGUGGCGAAGGCGACACGCUGGGCCAUACCUGACGCUAAAGCGCGACAGCAUGGGGAGCAAACGGG
rnacentral:rRNA from 1 species